rnacentral:rRNA from 1 species
UUCAGCGGCGGACGGGUGAGUAAUGCCUAGGAAUCUGCCUGGUAGUGGGGGACAACGUUUCGAAAGGAACGCUAAUACCGCAUACGUCCUACGGGAGAAAGCAGGGGACCUUCGGGCCUUGCGCUAUCAGAUGAGCCUAGGUCGGAUUAGCUAGUUGGUGAGGUAAUGGCUCACCAAGGCGACGAUCCGUAACUGGUCUGAGAGGAUGAUCAGUCACACUGGAACUGAGACACGGUCCAGACUCCUACGGGAGGCAGCAGUGGGGAAUAUUGGACAAUGGGCGAAAGCCUGAUCCAGCCAUGCCGCGUGUGUGAAGAAGGUCUUCGGAUUGUAAAGCACUUUAAGUUGGGAGGAAGGGCAGUAAGUUAAUACCU